rnacentral:rRNA from 1 species
UACGAAGGGUGCUAGCGUUGUUCGGAAUUACUGGGCGUAAAGCGCGCGUAGGCGGCUCCGCAAGUCAGAGGUGAAAUCCCUGGGCUCAACCCAGGAAUUGCCUUUGAAACUGCAGAGCUAGAGUGUCGGAGGGGAUAGCGGAAUUCCUAAUGUAGAGGUGAAAUUCGUAGAUAUUAGGAGGAACACCGGUGGCGAAGGCGGAUCUCUGGGCCUUACCUGACGCUCAGGCGCGAAAGCUAGGGGAGCGAACUGG